GAAAGGUUGUCCAGCCAGUCCAUCUCUGACACACCAGCUCUGGCACCAUCAUCCUGCUCAUCCAACAGUCCAGCCAACACCUGAGAAGUGACCAACAAUGUAUGAAACUGGACAUGAAACCACAUCAUCUAUCAACAAAAAAGAUCCCUCUCCCUACAGCAGUCGUCUCUCUCGAAGCACUUUUGUUCAGCCCUGUCUUUCUCUGGUACCCGACGUGCCGUUCCUCACUCUGGCUGGAUGUGUGCAGUUUAGUGUGGCUCUUUGCGUCAGUGAGCAUGCCACGUCUGGUCACCUGAGACAGACGGUCCCUUGGCAGAGAGAUCCUCAGCUCUCUCCUCUCAUCCUCUGGAAGGACACGUUUCUGCGACAUCCAGCUACUUUGCUGCUGGUCCAGCCUGCAAGGGGUCGCAUUACUUUUCAGCUCAGUGAUAAUCAUAGUUGUCUAGAUAGUAAU